rnacentral:rRNA from 1 species
UAAUGUCUGGGAAACUGCCUGAUGGAGGGGGGUAACUGCUGGAAACGGUAGCUAAUACCGCAUAACGUCGCAAGACCAAAGUGGGGGACCUUCGGGCCUCAUGCCAUCAGAUGUGCCCAGAUGGGAUUAGCUAGUAGGUGGGGUAACGGCUCACCUAGGCGACGAUCCCUAGCUGGUCUGAGAGGAUGACCAGCCACACUGGAACUGAGACACGGUCCAG